CGUAGGGGGCUAGCGUUGUCCGGAAUCAUUGGGCGUAAAGCGCGCGUAGGCGGCCCGGUAAGUCCGCUGUAAAAGUCAAAGGCUCAACCUUUGAAUGUCAGUGGAUACUGCCGGGCUAGAGUCCGGAAGAGGCGAGUGGAAUUCCUGGUGUAGCGGUGGAAUGCGCAGAUAUCAGGAGGAACACCAACGGACGAAGGCAGCUCGCUGGGACGGUACUGACGCUAAGGCGCGAAAGCGUGGGGAGCGAACAGGAUUAGAUACCCUGGUAGUCCACGCCGUAAACGAUGGGCACUAGGUGUGGGAGGUGUCGACUCCUCCCGUGCCGGCGCUAACGCAUUAAGUGCCCCGCCUGGGGAGUACGGCCGCAAGGCUA
rnacentral:rRNA from 1 species